UCAGUACCAUUGAUUUUAAUUUCGCAACGUUUCCGCUUGGAGCGCUGGCUAUAAAUAUAUGUACAAACUUGAGCAUUAAAACAAGGCCGUCAAAUGCCAUUUUACUUUGCUAAAGUGUUUCGACUUUCAAAUACUAUCAACGUUGGUGAGAAGUAAAAUCUUAUACUGAGGGUACAGAAUGAUCCCCUAAAGAAGCCCCUAUUUU